AAAAUCCUCAUGAUCCAAACACCCAGUCCUCUCUGGGUCAGAAGAGAGCUGAUCUCAAAGCAUUGUAGAGGCACUAGUGGGAUAGCCAACAAAAAGAGUCAGAAGAUGGAAUGCUGUGUGUUAAGGAACAAUAACCGGGCCAGCAUUACUGGAGUAUCGAGUAUGUGGAGACAUGAAAGGACAGGGGAGCUAGCAAUAGUGUUUGCCAAAAAGAAGAAAUGAAAAAAAGGUUAUUGAACCAUUUUGAAAAAUGCACAAAAAAAGAGAACAGAAGGAAGGUCAGUAGAACACAAAUAAGCAGGACAGUUGAAAGAGUGACACGCUGAAUUUAUUAUACAAAAAAAAAUCAAAUUGGACAUAACAGAGACUUUGAAGUUUCACCUAUCUUUUUUCUGUUCUACUUUAUAUACAGAA